rnacentral:rRNA from 1 species
AGAGUUUGAUCCUGGCUCAGAACGAACGCUGGCGGCGUGGAUUAGGCAUGCAAGUCGGACGAGAAGCCUUAUUUUCAAGUUUUCGGACAAGAAAAUGAGGUGGAAAGUGGCGAAAGGGAGAGUAACGCGUGGGCAAUUUGCCCUCAAGUUCGGGAUAGCCCUCCGAAAGGAGGGGUAAUACCGGAUGUGUUCGGGAGUCGCAUGACUCCUUAUAAUAAAGGUGAGGAUCCUUCGGGACCUGCCGCUUGAGGAUGGGCCCGCGUCCCAUCAGCUUGUUGGUAGGGUAAUGGCCUACCAAGGCUUACGGGUAGCUGGUCUGAGAGGAUGGUCAGCCACACUGGGACUGAGACACUGCCCAGACUCCUACGGGAGGCUGCAGUCGAGAAUCAUUCGCAAUGCGCGAAAGCGUGACGAUGCGACGCCGCGUGUAGGAUGACGGCCUUCGGGUUGUAAACUACUGUCAUGGGGGAACAACCGCCCGGGUGUUAAUAACAUCUGGGUCUGAUAGUACCCCAAGAGGAAGCCACGGCUAACUCUGUGCCAGCAGCCGCGGUAAUACAGAGGUGGCGAGCGUUGUUCGGAUUUACUGGGCGUAAAGGGUGCGUAGGCGGUUUUGUGUGUCAGAUGUGAAAUCUUACUUUUCAUGAGUGAAAUUGCAUUUGAAACUGCAGAACUAGAGUACAGGAGAGGAGAGCGGAAUUCAUGGUGUAGCGGUGAAAUGCGUAGAUAUCAUGAGGAACAUCGGCGGCGAAGGCGGCUCUCUGGAAUGAUACUGACGCUGAGGCACGAAAGCUGGGGGAGCAAACAGGAUUAGAUACCCUGGUAGUCCCAGCCGUAAACGGUGUGCACUUGGUGUGGGUUGGUUGUCCCAAUCCGUGCCGGAGCUAACGUGUUAAAUGCACCGCCUGGGGAGUACGGUCGCAAGGCUAAAACUCAAAGGAAUUGACGGGGGCCCGCACAAGCGGUGGAGCAUGUGGCUUAAUUCGAUGCAACGCGAAGAACCUUACCAGGGCUUGACAUAUAGCUGCUGUCCUGAUGAAAGUCAGGAGUCCUUCGAGGGUGCUAUACAGGUGCUGCAUGGCUGUCGUCAGCUCGUGCCGUGAGGUGUUGGGUUAAGUCCCGCAACGAGCGCAACCCUUGUGAUUAGUUGCCACUCUUUCAGAAAUGGGAGAAGCACUCUAGUCAGACUGCCCGUGAUAAGCGGGAGGAAGGUGGGGAUGACGUCAAGUCAGUAUGGUCCUUAUGCCCUGGGCUGCACACGUGCUACAAUGGUCGGUACAGAGAGAAGCAAUAUCGCGAGGUGGAGCAAAUCUCCAAAACCGGCCCCAGUUCGGAUCGAAGUCUGAAACUCGACUUCGUGAAGCCGGAAUCGCUAGUAAAGGCGUAUCAGCUACGACGCCUUGAAUACGUUCCCGGGCCUUGUACACACCGCCCGUCACAUCACGAAAGCCGAUUGUACCCGAAGUCGCUGAUCUAACCCGCAAGGGAAGAAGGUGCCGAAGGUGUGAUUGGUAAUUGGGAUGAAGUCGUAACAAGGUA